GUGUCAGCCGCCGCGGUAAAACCAGCACCUCAAGUGGUCAGGAGGAUUAUUGGGCCUAAAGCAUCCGUAGCCGGCUAUGUUAGUUUUCGGUUAAAUCCAUGUGCUCAACACAUGGGCCGUCGAGAAUACUGCAUAGCUAGGGAGUGGGAGAGGUAGACGGUACUCGGUAGGAAGGGGUAAAAUCCUUUGAUCUAUUGAUGACCACCAGUGGCGAAGGCGGUCUACCAGAACACGUCCGACGGUGAGGGAUGAAAGCUGGGGGAGCAAACCGGAUUAGAUACCCGGGUAGUCCCAGCUGUAAACUAUGCAAACUCAGUGAUGCAUUGGCUUGUGGCCAGUGCAGUGCCGCAGAGAAGUCGUUAAGUUUGCCGCCUGGGAAGUACGUACGCAAGUAUGAAACUUAAAGGAAUUGGCGGGGGAGCACCACAAGGGGUGAAGCCUGCGGUUCAAUUGGAGUCAACGCCAGAAAUCUUACCCGGAGAGACAGCAGAAUGAAGGUCAAGCUGAAGACUUUACCAGACAAGCUGAGAAGUGGUGCAUGGCCGUCGCCAGCUCGUGCCGUGAGAUGUCCUGUUAAGUCAGGUAACGAGCGAGAUCCCUGCCUCUAGUUGCCACCAUUACUCUCAGGAGUAGUGGGGCGAAUUAGCGGGACUGCCGCAGUUAAUGCGGAGGAAGGAAGGGGCCACGGCAGGUCAGUAUGCCCUGAAACUCUGGGGCCACACGCGGGCUGCAAUGGUAGUGACAGUGAGUUCCGAAUCCGAGAGGAGGAGGUAAUCUUCAAACGCUACCACAGUUAUGAUUGAGGGCUGCAACUCGCCCUCAUGAAUAUGGAAUCCCUAGUAACCGCGUGUCAUUACCGCGCGGUGAAUACGUCCCUGCUCCUUGUACACACCGCCCGUC
rnacentral:rRNA from 1 species